GACGAACGCUGGCGGCGUGCCUAAUACAUGCAAGUCGAACGCUUCUUUCCUCCCGAGUGCUUGCACUCAAUUGGAAAGAGGAGUGGCGGACGGGUGAGUAACACGUGGGUAACCUACCCAUCAGAGGGGGAUAACACUUGGAAACAGGUGCUAAUACCGCAUAACAGUUUAUGCCGCAUGGCAUAAGAGUGAAAGGCGCUUUCGGGUGUCGUUGAUGGAUGGACCCGCGGUGCAUUAGCUAGUUGGUGAGGUAACGGCUCACCAAGGCCACGAUGCAUAGCCGACCUGAGAGGAUGAUCGGCCACACUGGGACUGAGACACGGCCCAGACUCCUACGGGAGGCAGCAGUAGGGAAUCUUCGGCAAUGGACGAAAGUCUGACCGAGCAACGCCGCGUGAGUGAAGAAGUUUUUCGGAUCGUAAAACUCUGUUGUUAGAGAAGAACAAGGACGUUAGUAACUGAACGUCCCCUGACGGUAACUAAACAGAAAGCCACGGCUAACUACGUG
rnacentral:rRNA from 1 species